AGAAAACGCCGCCGCCGAACACACGAACCGAAGCAAACGUCAACACCGAGCCACCGCAGCCGGUUGAGGAAACAAGGAAUCGACUGAGCAAGACACCGAGCCCACAAACGCAACCACCACCGGUAGGUUUAGACAAGCAAAACCAGGAAAGGACCAUGAUGAGGAGCCUCUCCGGGAGGGGCUUCGUGGAAAGAGAGAAAGACGUUGGAGCCGAGCCGGUGUAAAACCGAUGCCGUAAUCAGCCACCGUAAUCAGCUGCUGCCGGAAUCCCUUUCAUGCACUAGCCGUAGUCCUCAAGUGGCGAUCUUACUCAUGAAUUCAAGCAGUUCAAGCUCUUCCGCCUCCCCUCGCUGCCACACCACCAACCAGAUCAUUGCCUCCCCCCUUCACCAAGAAGCCACCGAUCUAACCAUCACCGGCGUUCACAAACGGAAAGAGGCAACCCACGACCCUUGAGGAAGCACACCGGGGCCUGUCCUCAAUGGAACCGGACAUCCACGAGCGCGUAACCACCACCACCGCCUGGACACUGCAGAGACGACAAAGGAGCCCGAGAUCCGCCACAUCUACAGGUCCGGCGAGAUCCAAAGACCGCAGAUGAAGAACAAAUAGAAAAAGAGACUAAACUAGUCGACCCCUCACGGCUCCGGCGAACCGAGAACCGGAGGGGCGGAAGAGAGAGACGACGGAGGAAACCUUUCUUUUAGAGAGAGGUUGGAGCGAUAAGGUAGAGAGAGGUUUUUUUUUGUAUGUUCUAUACUUCUUCUCCAUAAAUAUGUUACAUCCAUACAUUCCGAGAUCUUUCACUUCCAUUACUGGAUAAGUGCUUUCCCACGCAGGGCCUAGCUUUCCCCAACCCUCGGUGUGUGUUAACUCAAGAUGUUGGGCUAUGUCCAAGUCUACUACUAGA
rnacentral:lncRNA from 1 species